rnacentral:rRNA from 1 species
AGCUCCAAUAGCGUAUAUUUAAGUUGUUGCAGUUAAAAAGCUCGUAGUUGGAUUUCGGGUCCGGACGACCGGUCCGCCGUUUCGGUGUGCACUGGUCGGCCUGAUCUUUCUGUCGGGGACGCGCUCCUGGACUUCAUUGGCUGGGACGCGAAGUCGGCAAUGUUACUUUGAAAAAAUUAGAGUGUUCAAGGCAGGCUUACGCACGAAUACUUUAGCAUGGAAUAACACGAUAGGACUCCGAGCCUAUUUUGUUGGUCUUCGGGACCGGAGUAAUGAUUAAGAGGGACAGUUGGGGGCAUUCGUAUUUCAUUGUCAGAGGUGAAAUUCUUGGAUUUAUGAAAGACGAACUUCUGCGAAAGCAUUUGCCAAGGAUGUUUUCAUUAAUCAAGAACGAAAGUAG